rnacentral:rRNA from 1 species
CGGAGGGAGCUAGCGUUGUUCGGAAUUACUGGGCGUAAAGCGCGCGUAGGCGGUCCAUUAAGUCAGAGGUGAAAGCCCGGGGCUCAACCCCGGAACUGCCUUUGAAACUAGCGGACUAGAAUCUUGGAGAGGUCAGUGGAAUUCCGAGUGUAGAGGUGAAAUUCGUAGAUAUUCGGAGGAACACCAGUGGCGAAGGCGACUGACUGGACAAGUAUUGACGCUGAGGUGCGAAAGCGUGGGGAGCAAACAGG